rnacentral:rRNA from 2 species
UUAAAUUGAAGAGUUUGAUCAUGGCUCAGAUUGAACGCUGGCGGCAGGCCUAACACAUGCAAGUCGAACGGUAACAGGAAGAAGCUUGCUUCUUUGCUGACGAGUGGCGGACG